CACGUAGGGCGCGAGCGUUGUCCGGAAUUAUUGGGCGUAAAGAGCUCGUAGGCGGCCUGUUGCGUCCGCUGUGAAAGCCCGGGGCUUAACCCCGGGUCGGCAGUGGAUACGGGCAGGCUAGAGGUAGGUAGGGGAGAAUGGAAUUCCCGGUGUAGCGGUGAAAUGCGCAGAUAUCGGGAGGAACACCGGUGGCGAAGGCGGUUCUCUGGGCCGUAACUGACGCUGAGGAGCGAAAGCAUGGGGAGCGAAUAGG
rnacentral:rRNA from 1 species